ensembl:antisense Gm12127 predicted gene 12127
GGGGUGAAAGGAGAAGAGACAAAGAGAGUGCGCAGGUUAAGAUGGAAAAAGACAAGGAUUCUGGGAAAUGCGCAGCUGCCAGCCAGCCAGCAAAGCCAGGUUUAAAGUUGGGAGUCCUGAAAACACACACACACACACACACACACACACACACACACACACACACACACACGCACAUUAGGUGACAAAAACAAGACUUGUGACUUUGACAUUCAACUUGACCUUGAGUUCAUCAUACAAUGGACUUAACAGAAGCAGCCAUUCCCAACAGACUUCUCUGAGAGUUCCCUAGUCACCAGGGUGGAUGAAGGGAGAACCUACCCCUGUAGAUACAAUGACUGAGCAGGAUAACCUCUUCCAUCACCAGACACAGAGUCAGAACCUUGAGCUGGACCCCUUCAUCAUCCUGUUACCAUGUCUGCCUUACACUUUUGCCUCAGUCAACCUAUCCGAGCGAUCCUGCUCUCUCUCUCUCUUGCUUUCUAAUCUCUGUUACAAUUCACGGUUGGCAUUCAAGAAUGUCUGGAGAAGGAAAACACAAACAAACGAUGGCCGAGUCAUUUUGGAGCCAGGCACAGCCAGACUUCAAACUCUGCUGGGAGUGGCAUGACACUGAGCAGAGCAGCUCUUCGCUCUAACCUCAGAUGCCUCUGUGAAGUGCUGAAGAACAACAUGAAUCUGAACUCUGAGCC